AGAUCAUCAAAUCGGUGCUGAAAUCCACCGCUUCGAUCCGCUCGAUUGCGUCGGUGGUGAAUGUCGAGGCGAACUCGUUCGACGUGCUGAUCGACCACACUGAUGUGGGCGCAGGCUGGGCCGACGAAACUGCGGUCGCAACCGAGACCGCGACCCCGUCGAUCGACCGCAUCUCGAUUGCGCUGCACGAGCUGAGUGCUCUGCCCAAAGCCUCACAGCGUCUGCUGGAUGACAGCGCGUUUGACGUCGAGGGCUGGCUGGCCGGUCGCAUCGCCGACAAGUUUGCCCGCGCCGAGGCAGCGGCGUUCAUCCCAGGCGACGGCGCCGAUAAGCCGAAGGGUAUUCUGGACCACACUAAGGUCGACAAUGAUGUCUGGGCCUGGGGCAAUAUCGGCUACGUGCCCACCGGCAUCGACGGUGGUGUCGAAGCGGAUGCGAUUGUCGACGUGGUCUAUGCGCUGGGUGCCCAGUACCGCGUGAACGGUACUUUCGUGAUGAACUCGAAAACCGCCGGUCUGAUCCGCAAGCUGAAAGACAGCGAUGGUCGCUUCCUGUGGUCGGACGGUCUGGCCGCCGGUGAGCCCGCGCGUCUGAUGGGCUAUCCGGUUCUAAUCGCCGAGGAUAUGCCGGAUGCGGCCUCCGACAGCUUCUCGAUUGCCUUCGGUGACUUCCAGGCCGGUUACACCAUCGCCGAACGUCCCGAUCUGCGCGUCCUGUGCGACCCGUUCAGCGCCAAACCGCAUGUCCUGUUCUA
rnacentral:rRNA from 1 species